rnacentral:rRNA from 1 species
GACGGAGAGUUUGAUCCUGGCUCAGGGUUAACGCUGGCGGCGCGCAUAACACAUGCAAGUCGAGCGAGGGCUUAUCUCCCGCAAGGGAGGUGAGUUCCUAGCGGCGAACGGGUGAGUAACACGUGGGCAACCUUUCCUAUCGCGGGGGAUAACACCGGGAAACCGAUGCUAAUACCGCAUGUCGUCACCGGUCGCAUGGCCGGUGAAGAAAGCAGCAAUGCACGAUGGGGUGGGCCCGCGG